GCCCCCAUCGUCUAGAGGCCUAGGACGCUGGCCUUUCACGUCGGUAACAGCGGUUCGAAUCCGCUUGGGGGCG
rnacentral:tRNA from 1 species